GGCGAGUGAAGCGGCAACAGCUCAAAUUUGAAAUCUGGCGUCUUUGGCGUCCGAGUUGUAAUUUGUAGAGGAUGCUUCGGCGUAGGCGCCGCCUAAAGUUCCUUGGAACGGGACGUCGUAGAAGGUGAUAGCCCUGUGACAGGGCGGAUGCCGUCGCCAUGUGAAGCUCCUUCGACGAGUCGAGUUGUUUGGGAAUGCAGCUCAAAACGGGAGGUAAAUUUCUUCUAAAGCUAAAUACCGGCCGGAGACCGAUAGUGCACAAGUAGAGUGAUCGAAAGAUGAAAAGCACUUUGGAAAGAGAGUCAAACAGCGCGUGAAAUUGUUAAAAGGGAAGCGCUUGCGGUCAGAACUUGGCCGCCGUUGCUCGGGGAGGUCUCGUGCCUCCCUCGCUCUUCGGCGGCUGGGCCAGCAUCGGUUCGGGCGGCUCGAUAAAGGCCGCGGGAACGUAGCUCCCUCCGGGGAGUGUUAUAGCCCGCGGCGGAAUGGGGCCCGCCUGGAUCGAGGUCUGCGCAUCUGCUCGGAUGCUGGCGUAAUGGCCUCAAGCGGCCCGUCUUGAAACACGGACCAAGGAGUCUAACAUUCGUGCGAGUGUUCGGGUGUCAAACCCGUGCGCGCAAUGAAAGUGAACGUAGGUGGGAACCCCUCGUGGGCGCACCAUCGACCGAUCCUGAUGUCUUCGGAUGGAUUUGAGUAUGAGCACGUAUGUUGGGACCCGAAAGAUGGUGAACUAUGCGUAAACAGGGCGAAGCCAGAGGAAACUCUGGUGGAGGCUCGCAGCGGUUCUGACGUGCAAAUCGAUCGUCAAAUUCGCGCAUAGGGGCGAAAGACCAAUCGAACCAUCUAGUAGC
rnacentral:rRNA from 1 species